UGCAUCGGCCGGGAAUCGAACCCAGGCCGCCCGCGUGGCAGGCGAGCAUUCUACCACAGUAUAUUUUAAACUGU